GUCUAUGUCCAUACCACGCUGAAUGUGCCUGAUCUCAUCUGAUCUCAGAAGCUAAACAGGGUCGGGCCUGGUUAGUACUUGGAUGGGAGAAAGGUAAUCUCUUAGUUUUAACAUUCUUAGGCAGGUUGAAAUGACU
rnacentral:rRNA from 1 species